UNNNCGUAGGUGAACCUGCGGAAGGAUCAUUUCUGNAGGCUUUUUGCCAAAACCACUGUGAACAGCUUAGACUUCGGUCUUUGCAAUUGCUUGGGUGUCGAAAGGCGCCCAAUCUUUAAAACUUUUAUAUUUGUUCUGAAACAAUGAAAAUUUAAAACUUUCAACAACGGAUCUCUUGGUUCUCGUAUCGAUGAAGAACGCAGCAAAGCGCGAUAGGUAAUGCGAAUUGCAGACGUGAGUCAUUGAAUUUUUGAACGCAUAUUGCGCUAUUAGUUUGUCUAAUAGCAUGCUUGUUGGAGUGAUAAUCUUCCUCUCAACCAUUUUUGGUAUGAGGUCUUGCUCCUUUUAGGAGUUAAAAUCAUGGAAGUGCACACGUUAAUUAACUCUGUGCAGUUAUACACUUUUCAUCCUCCAAUCAAGCAAGGUUACCCGCUGAACUUAANNNNAU
rnacentral:rRNA from 1 species